rnacentral:rRNA from 1 species
CGGAGGGUGCAAGCGUUAUCCGGAUUCACUGGGUUUAAAGGGUGCGUAGGUGGGUUGGUAAGUCAGUGGUGAAAUCCCCGAGCUUAACUUGGGAACUGCCAUUGAUACUAUCAGUCUUGAAUACCGUGGAGGUCAGCGGAAUAUGUCAUGUAGCGGUGAAAUGCUUAGAUAUGACAUAGAACACCAAUUGCGAAGGCAGCUGGCUACACGAAUAUUGACACUGAGGCACGAAAGCGUGGGGAUCAAACAGGAUUAGAUACCCUGGUAGUCCACGCCCUAAACUAUGGAUACUCGACAUCAGCGAUACACUGUUGGUGUCUGAGCGAAAGCAUUAAGUAUCCCACCUGGGAAGUACGAUCGCAAGAUUG